UACGAAGGGGGCUAGCGUUGUUCGGAAUUACUGGGCGUAAAGCGCGCGCAGGCGGUUCUUCAAGUCAGGGGUGAAAGCCCGGAGCUCAACUCCGGAACUGCCAUUGAAACUGUAGAACUUGAGGAUGAGAGAGGUGAGUGGAAUUCCACGUGUAGCGGUGAAAUGCGUAGAGAUGUGGAGGAACACCAGUGGCGAAGGCGACUCUUUGGCCUGUAACUGACGCUGAGGCGCGAAAGCGUGGGGAGCAAGCAGG
rnacentral:rRNA from 1 species